ACCAGGAUGGCCGAGUGGUUAAGGCGUCGGACUUAAGUUCCAAUGUACGAAUGUACGCGUGGGUUCGAACCCCACUCCUGGUA
rfam:Nematostella vectensis strain CH2 x CH6 NEMVEscaffold_2085_Cont40239, whole genome shotgun sequence.